CCAAUAGCGUAUAUUAAAGUUGUUGCAGUUAAAAAGCUCGUAGUUGAAUUUCGGAAUCUGUCCGUUGGUCGGGCUUCAUUGUCCGUACUGGUGUGAUGGGUUCUUACCUUCUGAAUAACCAGCAUGCCAUUCAUUUGGUGCGUUGGGGAAGCAGGACUACUACCUUGAAAAAAUUAGAGUGCUCAAAGCAGGCUAGUGCCUGAAUACAUUAGCAUGGAAUAAUAAAAUAGGACGGCAUGGUUCUAUUUUGUUGGUUUCUAGGAUCACCGUAAUGAUUAAUAGGGAUAGUUGGGGGCAUUAGUAUUCAAUUGUCAGAGGUGAAAUUCUUGGAUUUAUUGAAGACUAACUUCUGCGAAAGCAUUUGCCAAGGAUGUUUUCAUUAAUCAAGACCGAAAGUUAGGGGAUCGAAGACGAUCAGAUACCGUCGUAGUCUUAACCAUAAACUAUGCCGACUAGGGAUCGGACGAUGUUAAUUUUUUAAUGACUCGUUCGGCGCCUUACG
rnacentral:rRNA from 1 species